UGGCUCAGUGGUAAAGCAUCUGCCUGCAAUGCAGGAGACCCAGGUUCAAUCCCUGA
rnacentral:tRNA from 1 species